UACGUAGGGUGCGAGCGUUGCCCGGAAUUAUUGGGCGUAAAGAGCUCGUAGGCGGUGUGUCACGUCGGCCGUGAAAACCUGCAGCUUAACUGUGGGCGUGCGGUCGAUACGGGCAUCACUGGAGUUCGGCAGGGGAGACUGGAAUUCCUGGUGUAGCGGUGAAAUGCGCAGAUAUCAGGAGGAACACCGGUGGCGAAGGCGGGUCUCUGGGCCGUAACUGACGCUGAGGAGCGAAAGCAUGGGGGAGCGAACAGG
rnacentral:rRNA from 1 species